rnacentral:rRNA from 1 species
AAAUUCAAGCGUACUACACUGUCGAGAAAAGCUUCUAACGGGACAUCAUGUACCCGUACCAAAACCGACACAGGUAGGCGGGGAGAGAAUCCUAAGGUGCGCGGGAAAACCCUCGUUAAGGAACUCGGCAAAAUGCAUCCGUAACUUCGGGAGAAGGAUGGCCGGAGCUGGUGAAGAGAUUGACUCUUGGAGCUGGAGCCGGCGGCAGAAGAGAAGCCCAAGCGACUGUUUACCACAAACACAGGUGCCUGCUAAAGAGAAAUCUGACGUAUAGGUGCUGACACCUGCCCGGUGCUGGAAGGUUAAGGAGAGAUGUCAGGAGCAAUCCGAAGCAUUGAACUGAAGCCCCAGUAAACGGCGGCCGUAACCAUAACGGUCCUAAGGUAGCGAAAUUCCUUGUCGGGUAAGUUCCGACCCGCACGAAAGGUGUAACGACUUGGGCACUGUCUCAACGAGGGACCCGGUGAAAUUGAAAUACCUGUGAAGAUGCAGGUUACCCGCGACUGGACAGAAAGACCCCAUGGAGCUUUACUGCAGCCUGACAUUGAUUUUUGGCAUGUAACGUACAGGAUAGUUGGGAGACGGAGAAGAUAGCCCUCCAGGGUUAUCAGAGUCGCUGUUGGGAUACCAACCUUUAUGUGCUAGGGAUCUAACUCGAGAAGUAACGAAGCUGAGGACAGUAUCAGGUGGGCAGUUUGACUGGGGCGGUCGCCUCCGAAAGAGUAACGGAGGCGUCCAAAGGUUCCCUCAGCGCGGACAGAAAUCGCGCGGAGAGUAUAAAGGCAGAAGGGAGCUUGACUGCGAGACAUACAGGUCGGGCAGGUACGAAAGUAGGGCUUAGUGAUCCGGUGGAAUGAGAGUGGAGUUGCCAUCGCUCAACGGAUAAAAGCUACCCUGGGGAUAACAGGCUAAUCUCUCCCAAGAGUCCAUAUCGACGGGGAGGUUUGGCACCUCGAUGUCGGCUCAUCACAUCCUGGGGCUGAAGCAGGUCCCAAGGGUUGGGCUGUUCGCCCAUUAAAGUGGUACGUGAGCUGGGUUCAGAACGUCGUGAGACAGUUCGGUCCAUAUCCAUCGCGGGCGUAAGAUACAUGAGGGAGACUGCUCCUAGUACGAGAGGACCGGAGUGGACGGACCGCCGGUGUACCAGUUGUUUCGCCAGAAGCACAGCUGGGUAGCUGCGUCCGGAAGGGAUAAACGCUGAAAGCAUCUAAGCGUGAAGCCCGUCCCGAGAUGAAGUAUCUCAUGUCGUAAGACAGUAAGACACCUUGAAGAAGACAAGGUUGAUAGGGUAGAUGUGGAAGUCCUGCAAGGGAUGAAGCUGACUACUACUGAUAUGUCGAGGGCUUAACC